UACGUAGGCAGCAAACGUUGUUCGGAAUUACUGGGCGUAAAGAGUGUGUAGGCGGCUUUGUUAGUUUGGUGUGAAAUCUCCCGGCUUAACUGGGAGGGUGCGCCGAAUACUGCAAGGCUAGAGUACUGGAGAGGAAAGCGGAAUUCCUGGUGUAGCGGUGAAAUGCGUAGAUAUCAGGAGGAACACCGGUGGCGAAGGCGGCUUUCUGGACAGUAACUGACGCUGAGGCGCGAAAGCUAGGGGAGCAAACGGG
rnacentral:rRNA from 1 species